UGCGGGAUGGUGUAAUGGUAGCACGCAUGGCUCUGAACCAUGAAAUUGGGGUUCGACUCCCUGUCCCGCAG
rfam:Parcubacteria (Azambacteria) bacterium GW2011_GWB1_42_72 TV45_C0024, whole genome shotgun sequence.